rnacentral:rRNA from 1 species
GGGUUGUGAGGUUAAGCGAACAAGCGUACACGGUGGAUGCCCUGGCAGUCAGAGGCGAUGAAGGACGUGCUAAUCUGCGAAAAGCGCCGGUAAGGUGAUAUGAACCGUUAUAACCGGCGAUGUCCGAAUGGGGAAACCCGGUGCACUUCGGUGCAUCAUCGUUAGCUGAAUACAUAGGCUAACGAGGCGAACCGGGGGAACUGAAACAUCUAAGUACCCCGGGGAAAGGAAAUCAACCGAGAUUCCCCCAGUAGCGGCGAGCGAACGGGGAACAGCCCAGAGCCUGAAUCAGCUUGUGUGUCAGUGGAACGGUCUGGAAAGGCCGGCGAUACAGGGUGACAGCCCCCGUACACGAAGGCACACAGGCUGUGAGCUCGAUGAGUAGGGCGGGACACGUGAUAUCCUGUCUGAAGAUGGGGGGACCAUCCUCCAAGGCUAAAUACUCCUGACUGACCGAUAGUGAACCAGUACCGUGAGGGAAAGGCGAAAAGAACCCCGGCGAGGGGAGUGAAACAGAACCUGAAACCGUGUACGUACAAGCAGUGGGAGCCUUCGUAAGAGGGUGACUGCGUACCUUUUGUAUAAUGGGUCAGCGACUUAUAUUCUGUAGCAAGGUUAACCGUAUAGGGGAGCCGAAGGGAAACCGAGUCUUAAUUGGGGCGUUAAGUUGCAGGGUAUAGACCGAAACCGGUGAUCUAGCCAUGGGCAGGUUGAAGGUUGGGUAACACUAACUGGAGGACCGAACCGACUAAUGUUGAAAAAUUAGCGGAUGACCUGUGGCUGGGGGUGAAAGGCCAAUCAAACCGGGAGAUAGCUGGUUCUCCCCGAAAGCUAUUUAGGUAGCGCCUCGUGAACUCAUCUCCGGGGGUAGAGCACUGUUUCGGCUAGGGGGCCAUCCCGGCUUACCAACCCGAUGCAAAACUGCGAAUACCGGAGAAUGUUAUCACGGGAGACACACGGCGGGUGCUAACGUCCGUCGUGAAGAGGGAAACAACCCAGACCGCCAGCUAAGGUCCCAAAGUCAUGGUUAAGUGGGAAACGAUGUGGGAAGGCCCAGACAGCCAGGAUGUUGGCUUAGAAGCAGCCAUCAUUUAAAGAAAGCGUAAUAGCUCACUGGUCGAGUCGGCCUGCGCGGAAGAUGUAACGGGGCUAAACCAUGCACCGAAGCUGCGGCAGCGACACUAUGUGUUGUUGGGUAGGGGAGCGUUCUGUAAGCCUGUGAAGGUGUGCUGUGAGGCAUGCUGGAGGUAUCAGAAGUGCGAAUGCUGACAUAAGUAACGAUAAAGCGGGUGAAAAGCCCGCUCGCCGGAAGACCAAGGGUUCCUGUCCAACGUUAAUCGGGGCAGGGUGAGUCGACCCCUAAGGCGAGGCCGAAAGGCGUAGUCGAUGGGAAACAGGUUAAUAUUCCUGUACUUGGUGUUACUGCGAAGGGGGGACGGAGAAGGCUAUGUCGGCCGGGCGACGGUUGUCCCGGUUUAAGCGUGUAGGCUGACUUUCCAGGCAAAUCCGGAAGGUUAAGGCUGAGGCGUGAUGACGAGGCACCACGGUGCUGAAGUGACAAAUGCCCUGCUUCCAGGAAAAGCCUCUAAGCAUCAGGUAACAUCAAAUCGUACCCCAAACCGACACAGGUGGUCAGGUAGAGAAUACCA